rnacentral:rRNA from 1 species
UAUAGUUUAUUUGAUACUCAACUUUACAUGGAUAACCGUGGGAAUUCUAGGGCUAAUACAUGCGUAAACCCGCAAGGGAUGUGUUUAUUAGAAUAAAACCAUCACAGCAGCAAUACUGUUGAAUUGGAAUAAUAAUAACCGAUCGAAUCGCAGGCGCAAGCGGCGAUAAAUCAUUCAAGUUUCUGACUUAUCAGCUAUCGUCGGUAAGGUAUUGGCUUACCGAGGCUAUGACGAGUAACGGAGAAUCAGGGUUUGAUUCCGGAGAGGGAGCCUGAGAAACGGCUACCACA